UGCAGUCGAGCGGUAAGGCCUUUCGGGGUACACGAGCGGCGAACGGGUGAGUAACACGUGGGUGAUCUGCCCUGCACUUCGGGAUAAGCCUGGGAAACUGGGUCUAAUACCGGAUAUGACCUCCUAUCGCAUGGUGGGUGGUGGAAAGAUUUAUCGGUGCAGGAUGGGCCCGCGGCCUAUCAGCUUGUUGGUGGGGUAAUGGCCUACCAAGGCGACGACGGGUAGCCGACCUGAGAGGGUGACCGGCCACACUGGGACUGAGACACGGCCCAGACUCCUACGGGAGGCAGCAGUGGGGAAUAUUGCACAAUGGGCGAAAGCCUGAUGCAGCGACGCCGCGUGAGGGAUGACGGCCUUCGGGUUGUAAACCUCUUUCAGCAGGGACGAAGCGCAAGUGACGGUACCUGCAGAAGAAGCACCGGCUAACUACGUGCCAGCAGCCGCGGUAAUACGUAGGGUGCAAGCGUUGUCCGGAAUUACUGGGCGUAAAGAGUUCGUAGGCGGUUUGUCGCGUCGUUUGUGAAAACCAGCAGCUCAACUGCUGGCUUGCAGGCGAUACGGGCAGACUUGAGUACUGCAGGGGAGACUGGAAUUCCUGGUGUAGCGGUGAAAUGCGCAGAUAUCAGGAGGAACACCGGUGGCGAAGGCGGGUCUCUGGGCAGUAACUGACGCUGAGGAACGAAAGCGUGGGUAGCG
rnacentral:rRNA from 1 species